rnacentral:rRNA from 1 species
UACGGAGGGUGCGAGCGUUAAUCGGAAUUACUGGGCGUAAAGGGCGCGUAGGCGGUUUGGUAAGUCGGGUGUAAAAGCCCCGGGCUCAACCUGGGAAUUGCAUUCGAUACUGCCUGGCUAGAGUAUGGUAGAGGGAAGCGGAAUUCCGGGUGUAGCGGUGAAAUGCGUAGAUAUCCGGAGGAACACCAGUGGCGAAGGCGGCUUCCUGGACCAAUACUGACGCUGAGGCGCGAAAGCGUGGGGAUCAAACAGG